AUUGAACGCUGGCGGCAGGACUAACACAUGCAAGUCGAACGAGUGGCGGACGGGUGAGUAAUGUCUGGGAAACUGCCUGAUGGAGGGGGAUAACUACUGGAAACGGUAGCUAAUACCGCAUACCAUAAGAUGUGCCCAGAUGGGAUUAGCUUGUUGGUGGGGUAACGGCUCACCAAGGCGACGAUCCCUAGCUGGUCAGAGCGGCUGACCAGCCACGCUGGAAUUGAGACACGGUCCAAACGCCUACGGGCGGCAGCAGUGGGGAUUAUUGCACAAUGGGCGCAAGCGUGAUGCAGCCAUGCCGCGUGUAUGAAGAAGGCCUUCGGGUUGUAAAGUACUUUCCGCGGGGAGGCGUUACCCGCAGAAGCAGCACCGGCUAACUCCGUGCCAGCCGCCGCGGUAAUC
rnacentral:rRNA from 1 species